GGUGGGGCCGCGUGGUGGUGGUGGCUGUGGUGGGGGUUGGUGUUGUGUGUGGCGGGAGGGACGCGCUUCGGCCGUGGGGAGGCAGCGGGGGCUGAGCUGUCCGAGAGGGGAAGUGGCACCGCGCAGGGGUUGGGAGAAGGUGCAGGGAGAAAGGCUGGAGCCGACUGCCUUCCCCCGAGGAGCGGGGACGGCUCAUCCGUUGUGUUUGGGCGCGCUGGUGAGGCUUGGCGCCUGACAGAGCCGUGCUGCGGGCUGUCAGGGCAGUGAGAAGCAGCAGUCUGUGUUGGGGCCGGGGCUGGCUCAUCUUUGGCUAAUAACCUGGGAAAUGCGAGGCAUUAUUCCUAAAGAGCAAAGGGAAUGGGAAGUUGGAGGUGAACUUUUAUAUAUUUUUCUCAUCCGAGGUAACUGACCGUCCUGGAGGGGGAUGGGAAAGGCCUGUAAACAACCGAAGUGCGGUUUUUGUGUCCUCGUUACCAAAGGAAGCGGCUUAAGGAAGGGAACAGUGUAAAUCUUCUGUGUAGUGUGUUAUGGCUCACACCAGUGUUAAAUCACACAUUUCUGCCGUGUGGCUACAAGCAAAUCCCCAAAACAGAUAACAGUACAAGUUCACAAAGUUUUAAAAAAAUAAGUUACGCUUGUUUUGUAAAACUUAAAAAUCUCUUACUGAUCUCACUCGAGGAGGAAAGAAAGCAGUAAAAGGAAAUGUUUUUUCAGUGUGAGAAAUGUGUACUCAACCAUCAAAAAAUAAAUACGCAUCUAUGCUGGUGGCAGGAAGAGUCCAUUCUAUUCCUGCAGGGAGUGUUUAUUGCACCGAGUUGUGAGCCAGCUGACAGGGAGCAGCUUCGCUCCCUGUAAAGAGGUUACACAGAGCAGUGUACAGGCUGCUGCUGGAGCCUGCACUGACUGUGAUACUGCUGCAGCAGAGGGUUGGUUGUGAGGUGACUGCGUUGCUCCAGUAGGGAGCCAUGCCAGCCCUGCUCGCUUGGUGCUGUGCUCUGCCAAAGAGAAGUUUGCCAGCUGCUUGAAUGGCAGUGAGAUGAGACCUGCAGGUAGUUGCUGCUGGUUGGAUGGGAGUUUUUUACUUAUAAAAUCAGAAAAAUGUGUUUAGAACUGAGUUUUACUCUCUCCCUCCUCCCUCUGUACAUGUGAGAGAAAUGUCUGCUCUGUACCAUUAAAAAAAAUAAAUUAUGAAGGAUGGAAUAAUUAAUACCAUCUGGACUGUAUAGUGAAGCUAUAAGUGUAAGGAACCUGCUUUAGUGGCAAGUUUGGACUAGAUGAUCUCCAGAGAUCCCUUCCAAUGCUUACAAUUCUGUGAUGCAAACUGUUGUUGCAGGUAAGGUCUUGCAAAUAUGUAUUUUUCUAAAAAAUACAUUUUUUUCUCUUCUAUAUGCAUGAAUAAGUGUGUACCCAUUCUAGGGCCAACUGGUUGCACUGCUGAACAAAAUUCCAACAUAUGUGAACUGGAAUGCAAUUCAGCUACGUAUUAAGAGAACUGUAUCUUAGAAAUACAGGCCAUUUUUUGUUGUUCUUGUUGUUGUUGUUCUUUUUUCCCCUCUUCCCAUCUUUUCUCUUGUAAUUUAGUCCAGAAUAAAAUUCCCAUUGAUUUUGAGACUUUGCUUUUGAAAAGGCAGGUGGAAAUUGCUGGGAUGCAAUUUUGUUGUGAUGCAGUUUGACUUUGCCCCCUUGAGAGCAGUUCCUGCAGUACUCUGCUCUAGUCUUGGUGAAUUCUUCAGCCUGGGGAGGGGCUGAAGGAGGCUGCCUUUCCCUAUUUUGCUUGGAGAAGUUAAUCAGAACUGCUGCAGGGAUCAUGCUGAGCUGUCCUCACAUGGCUGCUUAAGAAACCAGGAAGCUCUUGAUACUUUCAAGGAAAGGAAGAGCAGCCACGGAGAAUGUUCAGAAGCUCAAGGCACAUUGUGUGCAGACAGUUUUGAUAUUUGGAGACUGCAAGAUUUGUUGUUUCAACAGUAAGCUGGAGAUGUGUAUAAGGAGUUUGAUAAUCAAGUGACUAGCCUACAUAUUACUCAUGAAAAAAGAAAUAAGUGUAUGUGUAGUUUUACUUCUUGUUGCCUUUCUGAGGCUGGCAGCGCUGCCGCUUUUUGUAUAAGCACUUCUAAGACGGAUAAGCAUUGUAUCUAAAUUCAAAACCCCGACUUAAGAAAUUGGAAACAGGUUUCAGAAGGUUAUUGUGGUGGCAAAGCCUUGGGAGGAAGAAAGCAAAGCCUUUGAGAUUACUGGAAAGAGUACCAGGACAUUUGAGGGAGAGGAUGCUGUGCACAGUGCUCUGAUAUAGAUGUGGUGAAUUAUAUGGCUGUUAGGGAGACAAUAGAUAACUUCUGUAAUUUACAGUUCUCCCUAAGCUUGACAGACUGAGGUUGGAUUAUAUCAGGUUGUAAAAACAGAUAACAAAGCUUCAGUUCAGGCUGGGGUUAUUGGUUCCUGCAAUCUUACAGGUACUUACCAAGGAGGUGAGUAUUGCCCAAGGAGGUUGUGGAUGCCCCAUCCCUGGAGGCAUUCAAGGCAAGGCUGGACAUGGCUCUGGGCAGCCUGGUCUAGUGGUUGGUGACCCGGCACUCAGCAGGAGGGUUGAAACUCGAUGAUCUUUGAGGUCCUUUUCAACCCAGGCCAUUCUAUGAUUCUAUGAUUCUCUUUCUUAACAUUUAAGUGCAUGAGUGAAAAAUGGUAUGUUGAGUUGUGGGCUGCGGCUCUGGACUGCGAGGCAGGCCUGCAGUGAUUAUAUAGGUGAGUUUAUUGCAUGUAGAUAGGAAAAUGUUUUAAAUUAGUAUUUCAGGAUAAGUAGCACUCUAAAUAUAAUUCUCCAAAUAACAAAAUGGACUCCUGAUACAAUAUAAUGGUUUGUUUAAGUAGAAUAAUAAAGCAGAAGCAAUGAACACAGCUAAAAAUUAAUCCAAAUUUUAUUCUUUGGUACAGUUGCAUGUGUUUUGGGAGACAUUGAUUGGGAAUUACAGAAUUUUGCAGUUUGCUAUGGUAAGAGGCUAAUUCAGCAUAAAAUAUAACCUGAUUUUAUUUGUCAGGUGUAGCUUAUUUUUCUGCUUAUAGUUGAUCAACUAUAGUCGAUCUCUUUCUAUAGUGUCUUGUUACUGUGAUUACAAUCGUUUACUGAAACUUCUGAAUCUGCUGUUGAACACUUUUUAAAAUCAAUGAAAUUUUAACAAUCCCAGAUUACUAUUGCACUUUCCUGUUGGCUCUUUGCUAAGAAAGCGUCAGUGUCCAUUUAUGGGGAGGAGAAGGUUGGCUGUGUUCAUGUGGGUUUUUCAAUUAAAGACAUUUCUGUCUUGUUUGUAUUCAUUCUCUUAAUUCAGCAGUUUUUAGUCUUUCUCCAUGUAAAGCCAACAACAAAUUUCCUAGUAGUAAUGGUACAAAACCAGACCUAGUAGGUCUCAUGUACGCAGUUGUCUCCCACGUUGGGCUUUCUUGCAGACCAAAAAUACCUCACUCACUCAAGCUGUGCACCAUUGGGAUCUGUGUCCAGCUCUGCCACCUGAUGUGCAGGGCACAGCCUGCUGCUGCACUUAGCUUGUUGCUCAGCCUUGCUUGGCUCUCCUGGCCAUGGAGCACAGACAAGGUCUUAGUGCUGCAGGGGAACCAAGGGGAGUGCCUGUCAGGAAAGCCUGGUGUGCACACAGGGAAAGCAAAGCUAUACUCUUGCAGGGCAUUGCAGCCUGUCCCCUUGUGUAGCAGAAUAGGCCAGAAACAACCACUAUGAUCUGUCUGGCAAUGGUGUCCUCUCAUACCCCACAGAGAAAGUACCCGAAAGACAUGAGGAAGCAUUUCCCAGUGAAGGGAAAGUUUGGUUCUGCUUGGUUAGGCACAUUUGUCCUCCUACUGCCUCCAGCAUAGCUGUUGUAACUCACUGAUUAGUCUGACUUAAAGAAGGUUUGUGCUUCUGGGACGGAAAUGCCCAAUCCUCCCUUAAGUACUGCCAGUUUUUUUCCAGUGCAGACAACACCAAGGAAUCAGAAUGUCACGUUCUCCUUCCAACAUUAUUAUUAAUAUUGUGACUCCAGGCAAAUGAUUUCCUCUCUGUGCCUCAACUUCCUCAUUUGUGAAAUGAUGACUGUAACGACUGCAAAUAAUAUUUACUCAAGCGUGCGGGUAAAUAUUCUAUAUUGGCUCCUCAUUGUUACCAUCAUGGUGAGCCUAGAAGCCCAAACUCAGAUAGGGAUUUGUUGGACACACAAAGCUUGUUGCUAUUUAGUCAUGGAGCUAACUGUGAUAGAGCUGGAGGGAAGGGCUGCAGGUGACCUUGGAUUUCCAGAGGAGUUAGAUAUUUACUGUUCUUUGUAGCUGUAUAAUAAAUGUUGAAUGGGAGGUAGAGAGACCAUAUUGCACUCUACAAGGUAGUCUCCCAGCCAUUCUGUGUUUGUAUGUUUUGGAGUUGGACAUUCUGUUUCUCUGUCAAUCUUUUUAAUAAGAGAAUUAUCACAGGCACCUCCUGGGCUUCAUAGAAUCAUAGAAUCCUUAGAGUUGGAAAAGAUCUCUGAAGGCCAUCUAGUCCAGCUCCCCUGCAGUGAACAGGGACACCAUAGCUUGAUCAGUUUGCCCAGGGCCUUAUCCAGCCUCGCCUUGAAAGUCUCCAGGGACUUGGCAUUUAAGCAUUCUUUUAAUAGUAAAAAAAAUAAUUGCGCACUAAUAUUAUGUAAUGCAAAAAAUUCUUGUCAAUUUAUAAAAUAUUGUGACAUUUAGGAAUAUGAUAUUAAAAUGCCUAUAUAAAUUAUGAAGGCUGGAUGGAGCUUUGAGCAACCUGGACUAGAGGGAGGUGUCCCUGCCUGUUGCAAGGAGGUUGGAACUAGAUGAUCUUUCAGAUCCCUUCCAACCCAAACCAUUCUGUGAAUAAUAAAAUUUUCAUCACUUCCAUUGUUUUCAGAAGACUUUUCAGAAAAGAUUCUUUUCAGAAGACAUCAGUGAAUCAGAUACGUUGUGGAUGAGUUCCCAAAUAUAACACUGGUUGUUGUAGUGCUGCAUAUUGUGAACUUACAGAGCUUCUGCCUUGUGUUCAGUAAAAGUUGAGUUCUACACUCAAAAACCAAGAAGAGAAUGGAAAUGAGAUGUCCUGAUGAAGUCUGAUUACUGCUGAUACCAUACCUGCCACAAGAAUAUGGAAGGAGGCAGUGAGCCUUUUUAAAUAAGACCUCACAGGCAUGUCAUGAGACCUCAUCCUCUGAUACUACUGUAAAGUAACUGCAAAGUUGUUGAAUGAACCCAGUAUCAAUAAAAGUAUCUCAGUUACUUUACAAGGAAAUUAGUCUAUUUCUGUUUGGACAAAGUGGAGCUGGUGAAGGGUA